rnacentral:rRNA from 1 species
AGUGAACGCUGGCGGUAGGCCUAACACAUGCAAGUCGAACGGCAGCACAGUAAGAGCUUGCUCUUACGGGUGGCGAGUGGCGGACGGGUGAGGAAUACAUCGGAAUCUACUUUUUCGUGGGGGAUAACGUAGGGACACAUACGCUAAUACCGCAUACGACCUACGGGUGAAAUCAGGGGAUCUUCGGACCUUGCGCGAUUGAAUGAGCCGAUGUCGGAUUAGCUAGUUGGCGGGGUAAAGGCCCACCAAGGCGACGAUCCGUAGCUGGUCUGAGAGGAUGAUCAGCCACACUGGAACUGAGACACGGUCCAGACUCCUACGGGAGGCAGCAGUGGGGAAUAUUGGGCAAUGGGCGCAAGCCUGAUCCAGCCAUACCGCGUGGGUGAAGAAGGCCUUCGGGUUGUAAAACCCUUUUAUUGGGAAAGAAAAGCAGCAGGUUAAUACCCCGCUGUUCUGACGGUACCCAAAGAAUAAGCACCGGCUAACUUCGUG